GCUCUUGCUGGAGGAUCUGACAUUGCUCCAGGGUCACGGACAUGGCCGUACGAUCCUUUGCACUCUUGCAGCUGGUCACACGCACACCGUUCAGACGCCGACAAAUCUGACGUAAAAAGUGAGAAAGAUAUCAUCCUGUAUUGUUAGAUCACUGUACCUCUGCUGCCUGCAACAGGAUGUCAACAUUCUUGCUCUUCCUGGCACUAACAUUUUGACUGAGGAACUUGAGUAGCUCAGGUACACAGAUCUGACUGCGAGAGCGGGGCAGGCCUAUAGAUGGAGUCAUUCAACAGGUCAGGACGGACAUAAACCAUCUACCAACUUUCUUUCAUGCAGAGUGUUUAGGACUCACAGUCUUCAGGCAGCACUUCUUUAAACUGGUCAUAAUAGGAGGCAAGACGAGUCAGACUCUCCAUAUUCACUACUUCCUGCAGCGACGUGUCUCCAAACCUAAAGUAACACAAAAUGAACUUGAAUACAAAAAAGUACACUGUAUAUAUAAAAUGUAUAUUGUAUACUGUAUAUUGACAGUCCAAUGAAUUACACUGUAUGAAUAACUGAAGAGAUAAAUAUCGGGUCUCAUUCACUAAGCAUGCAUAUGUGAUGAUUGUGCAUUAAAUCUACAUACAAAGGACUUCACAAUCCAUGAAGUGGAUUCUUAUCUUUUCAUAAAUACUGAUAAUCCAUGCAGUUAUUAGUGAAAGAGAGCUGAGCCAGUGUGAUUAAAUCAGUCCAUACAAAGAACCAGAAAGUAUAUUUAAUUCAUACACUUACUUUUCUGCUAGCGUUUGUUGCUCAUUGAUUCCUACAUUGAAUAAUACCGGUUGAACUCGCAGCAGCAUCCCAUUUUGGAUCUCCCGUGGCAACACAUCAAACAUCAGCCCCGAUAAAGGAACUCGCACGUUAAACCCAUCUCUGUUGCCCGUGAUGACAGGCAGCAUGUCGGGGCUGAAGCUGGAGGUCGCCUGGGUCACUUUAAAGGUGACAUUCCGGAGGUCCAUGACACCUACACUCAUGUCUUCCAACAUGGCCAGUUCCUCCCCUUUAAGACGAAAGAGGAAGUUUACCUUCAUACAUAAGUGCAAGCUGAAGUGAAAUGUGUUUGUAUGUAUGUUUACCGUAGGUGCUCAGGAGCCCCUCAAACUGGACCAGUAAGCCGAUAGUGUGGAGUUGUCUGAGGAAGUCGCUGUCACUUAGACAGUUCCUCAGUUUUAUCACAAAGCCACAGAUCAGGGCCGUCAGCUACAAAGAAAUAUGUGUAUUAUUAGAAUGGAUAUGAAAUUUUAAUUUACAGUCAGCUAGGGAUAUUGCAUUAUUAAAGUGUUUUGUAGAGUACUCUGUAAGCAGAACUAUUUUUUUUAAUACGAAAAACACACAAAUCAAUUUUUGCCAACCUCUGUAAAAAUUAUUUAUGGUGUUAACACCCAUAUGGCAAAAACCCCUAAUUUUUACAUGUAUGCAAAAUAAAUAUUUUAAACAGUGCUGUAUCCUUAUUGGUAGCUGAACACAAUAUCAAAUUAGCUGAAAUGUUUAACAAAUGUAAUGUAAUGGGUGAUUCACAAAAUGUUAUAACUGAGAAGAGUUUCUCAUUUCUACAAAGCACAUUCUAUGUGGGCCUGGUUGGCACUAAAAUGAUGUUGUUUCUCUCUUUAAAUAGUCUGUACUAACUGUCUGACAGAAAACCACAUCUCUGCGGUACUGUAGUGACAAACUCAUGGCGAUAGUGGGAGCGCUGUCUUGCAUCAGUAGAAACACCAUGGACUUCUUGGCUUUGUCGCUCAUCAUUGCUACACAUUCAUUCAGAGUGGUCAGGAGGGGAUACAGAGCUUCACUCCAUUCACCUAGAGCCAUAAACACAGACAGAUAAAACUGGAUGGCCCACAAAUACACCUGCAGCUGGGACAAAUAGUUUGCAGCGAGAGGCUUACCAGGAGAAGAGCCUUCAACACUGGGACUGCCAUCUAAAACCGGACAGAGAGACAACAAGCGCUGUUUAUGACAACAGUGCCAAUACUAAUUACUUUAAAAGCCAACUCUUUAUGAAAUCUUGUGAUGUCAUUUUUGGUUUGUUAGCAUACACAU